GGGGAAUCUUGCGCAAUGGGCGAAAGCCUGACGCAGCGACGCCGCGUGGGUGACGAAGGCCUUCGGGUUGUAAAGCCCUGUGGGGAGGGAACGAACCGUCCGGGGGCCGAAUACCCUCCGGGCCUGACGGUACCUCUUUAGCAAGCAUCGGCUAACUCUGUGCCAGCAGCCGCGGUAAGACAGAGGAUGCGAACGUUGCUCGGAAUUACUGGGCGUAAAGCGCGCGUAGGUGGCCUUGUAAGUCUCGUGUGAAAGCCCUCUGCUCAACGGAGGAAGUGCACGGGAUACUGCGAGGCUGGAGUACAGAAGAGGACAGCGGAAUUCCCGGUGUAGAGGUGAAAUUCGUAGAUAUCGGGAGGAACACCAGUGGCGAAGGCGGCUGUCUGGGCUGAUACUGACACUGAGGCGCGAAAGCGUGGGAAGCAAACAGGAUUAGAUACCCUGGUAGUCCACGCUGUAAACGAUGACGACUGGGUGUUGCGGGUAUUGACCCCCGCGGUGCCGAAGCCAACGCGUUAAG
rnacentral:rRNA from 1 species